rnacentral:rRNA from 1 species
GACGAACCGUGCAAACGUUGUUCGGAAUCACUGGGCUUAAAGGGCGCGUAGGCGGGCUCGCCAGUCAGGGGUGAAAGCCCACGGCUUAACCGUGGAAGUGCCUCUGAUACUGCGGGUCUCGAGGGAGGUAGGGGCGUGCGGAACUUCCGGUGGAGCGGUGAAAUGCGUAGAUAUCGGAAGGAACACCGGUGGCGAAAGCGGCGCGCUGGACCUCUUCUGACGCUGAGGCGCGAAAGCCAGGGGAGCGAACGGG